rnacentral:rRNA from 1 species
GACAGUGCUGCAUGGCUGUCGUCAGCUCGUGUCGUGAGAUGUUGGGUUAAGUCCCGCAACGAGCGCAACCCUUGCCUUUAGUUGCCAGCAGUUCGGCUGGGCACUCUAAAGGGACUGCCGGUGUUAAACCGGAGGAAGGUGGGGAUGACGUCAAGUCCUCAUGGCCUUUAUGACCAGGGCUACACACGUACUACAAUGGCCGAUACAAAGGGCAGCGACACUGCGAGGUGAAGCCAAUCCCGUAAAAUCGGUCUCAGUCCGGAUUGGAGUCUGCAACUCGACUCCAUGAAGUUGGAAUCGCUAGUAAUCGUGGAUCAGCAUGCCACGGUGAAUACGUUCCCGGGCCUU